rnacentral:lncRNA from 1 species
CUCCCCCAGUCCCUCCUGAAGCUGGAUGGAAAUGCAGCUCCUGCCUCCCUCAGUCCUGAUGCCAGAGACCGGGAAAAAUCAGAACAGGUAAAUCAGAGGCAUUUAUUCCUCAGUGCCAGCCUCAUAUGCCAUGAAACCUUCCAGCACGUCAGGUAUUGUGGUUUACCUGCAAAUCUGAGGGCUACUGAACAGCUGUAAAUCUGAUCCCAAAUGCAUAUUGUUCCUUAAGAAUAACAGUUUAUGCGUCCUGGUAGAAUACGGCAGUGCUCUGUGUGAGAUACAAAUGAAUGGUUUAUUAUUGGCUUCUCAGAAAUCAGGACUGGAGGUUGUUGCUCACAAUGCACUCUGAUUAGAACAGGAGGUCAGACCAGUUGUGUUUCCUUCUGUCUCCACAGUCUGUGAAUGAUUUGGUCCAUAUAAAAAUUACGCUAUUUUCCACUAAUUUGCCUGCUUUACUUCGCUAAUAGGGAAGUCUGCUGCUGCUGUUACUCAAAACUCUCAUCUGGUUUUCCUGGGGAAGUUUGGAUGCAGGGGUUGGUUUGGCGAGGAGAAUCGCUUCACCCUUCACUGGAGCACAGCCACCUGGGGAGCUGCAGGGAGAAACUUCUUUGGAAACCCACGGGGCUUUCUAAAAUGGAUCAAGAUAUAGAGGAAAGACAAGGAUGUCACAGUGCCUUAAGGAUAUGAGUAUAAUGAAGCAUAGAAGCAACAUGGAAUUGUUGUUCCGACCCACCCCAAAGUUGUCCUGUGAAGACAAAUUAAACAGAAAGAAACGAGACAGUGGACAGUCUGCCUGCACCCUGUCAUUGUAGCUUUGCCCAUGCUUUCCCAUUUGAUGACAGUUCGUGCUUUGCAGAAUAGUUGGUGCUGU